rnacentral:misc_RNA from 1 species
UGAACCCCAACACCGACGAUC